UCUGCAAUGAUAAAAUGUUUUUCAAUUUAAUUAAUUAAUAUUUAAAUAGCAAUUCUCUAAAUUUAAAUGUCAAACUUGAUCAAAGUUUAGGUUGAAGGCGGUAUAUAGAGUUUGAGACAUACAAAAUAAUUUAUAACAUCUUAAAUUGUAAAUUUAUCUGGGAAACCAUCUCUAUGAUGCUGCAAGUGAGAGUCAGGUGUAAACAUCUAUGCAACAAACUGACGUCUAAUAAAUUACUCACGUGCAGUGAUUGCUGUUAUAGCGAGGAAAAGGACGACCGAUCCGAUGAACAUCAUGUUUAUUUGUAGUUUUAAGUAAGUCUCCGCCAAUUAAUCUCGUAAUCACUACGUAUUUUCCUUCUUCUGUCUUCCUUUUCUCACAUAGAUCGAGCGAGGUGGAUAUUUUCCUGUUUCGCUUUGUAUCCUUGCUACGGAAAACAUACACUCUGUUGGAUAAUAUCCCACUCGCAGUUAGCCGAGAUAUAGCACAAGGCAGACUAGAAUUAAUAUGCUACCCGCGCGAGUCGCCAAUCGACUAAGCUCUUCCACUGCUUGCCGGCUUAUUAAAUCUGUUGAUUCGGUGGGAAUAAUCGUUGGUAAUGAUUACUCGAUUGCCAUGAUUCGUUGUCGAUUAAAGCUGACUCGCGCGUUUCAUGUGAUUCUACGAAAAUUAUAAAUAUAAAAACCUUUCUUGAAUUGAAAAAUUUCAUUGUUCUGCGUUAAAUUCUUAUUAUUAAGGAUAUCUUAUUGCAAUGCGAAUUAAUAGCUUCUUGAAUAUUGAUUCUGACUCAAGUUCAUGGGAAUAACACAGGUCUAUAUAUGGGAAUUUUUCUUUUAAAUAUACUUUUUUAGUAAAUUUAUUCGAUUUUCAUCUGGAAAAUGUUCCAUGGUUUUUUAUUAAAGAGUUAUUCUAAAUUUUUAUUAUUUUAUAUUAUUUUAUUUUAUGUAUUUAUAUUAUUUUAUUAUUUAUUUACUGUGGAAUUUUAAUGUUUAAUUUAUUAUAACUUUUAGUCUAUUUAACUUUUAAUAACAUUUUUAAAGUUAUAAAAUUUUUUAAAUGCUCUUAUUAUAUCACUGCUAGUUUUAAAAAUUUUGUUAUUCUCAGUUUUGAUAUCACGAAAGUCAGAUAAAUCGCUUCUCUCACUAAAUCAAUCACAAUUGAUAACUCCGUCGGGAUAAAUUCUCAGAGAAAAGAUAAAUUUAGUUGUUAAAAUAAAAAUAAAAAUCACAAAAUUAACAUACAUUGUUAUAAAAAAGAAAUUAAUUUUGAUUAUAUAUAAAAUUAAAAUAUAAUUAAAGUGGAAUUUUUCCAGAAAGACUUACACGAAGAGGUAAAACGAGGAAUGAGGAAAUCUAACAGAAAAAGAAAGAGAAAAAACCGGUUGAAAUAAUAAUAAAAAUGAUUUUUAUUCGGAAAAUGGUAACUUCCAGGAAUAUCGCAAGACAAAAUUGAUCGAGAAGGAAAGUCAUAAUUUUUAUACUCACAGGUGGUUUGCCAAGAUAAUAUGGUCAAGCAUGUGCAGGAGUGUUGUCUGUUUUGAAACCUGCAAUCAUUAAUCAUUGUAAGGAUAAGAAAAGUUACGAUAAAACAUUAGUACUUUCUACCAAAUCGACUACCAAGGAUGUCAGUCGUCUUGUAUCUCUUUAUUAAUUUGUUAUUCAAUUGAGGAAAUAUUUCAAUUACGUCAUCAUGACCUAUAGCUACAACAAAAUACGAAGAUUUAUUCGUUCGGAAAAUUCUUCAUGAAAUCGAAUAUUAAUCGCUGAAAAACGAUUAAUAGAAUCAACAACUUAAUGGUACAUAGUUAACAGCAAUGUUGUACCAGUCUAUAUAAUAGGCGACUCUGGGAGACAUAGGAAAUGCCUGUGACACCGCAUGACAUCACUCCAACUGACCAUGCCGUGUUAAACCAUGCCAACUAAGGUGCUGUAUACACUACGCGCUUGCAAAGGACUUCAUCGCCCAGACAGUGUUGAGGAUCCAGUCCAUGUAGUAGGAGACUCUGGUGUAGACUCCGGGGAUACCCUCGAUGCCACAUGGCGACAAUCCGAAGCUGACCACGCCGUACUGGACGUAGCGCACAGUCUUGUUGUUGUAUUUAUUCGGCUUCUGUAAAGGCCCGCCGCUGUCGCCAUUACAGGUCGCCCCGUUUCUUUGACCGCCGGCGCACAAUUGCUUGUACGAAAUCUGCCUGGCGGACUUAAUAUUUCUAUAUAUUUCUUCACACUGCUCAUUUGGAAUCACCGGUAGAUUUGCCUGCUGAAGGUGGAAACGCCUAUGCAACGAACUGACGUUUAAUAAAUUACUCACGUGCAUUGAUUGCUGUUACAGCGAGGAAAAGGACAACUGAACCGAUGAACAUCAUAUUUAUUUGUGGUUUU